AUACGGAGGGUGCGGGCGUUAAUCGGAAUUACUGGGCGUAAAGCGUACGUAGGCGGUUGGUUAAGUUAGAUGUGAAGGCCCCGGGCUUAACCUGGGAACUGCAUUUAAAACUGACGAACUAGAGUUGAGUAGAGGGGAGUGGAAUUUCAGGUGUAGCGGUGAAAUGCGUAGAGAUCUGAAGGAACACCAGUGGCGAAGGCGACUCCCUGGACUCGAACUGACGCUGAGGUACGAAAGCGUGGGUAGCAAACGGGAUUAGAAACCCUAGUAGUCC
rnacentral:rRNA from 1 species